UACGAAGGGUGCUAGCGUUGCUCGGAAUCACUGGGCGUAAAGCGCACGUAGGCGGAUCUUUAAGUCAGAGGUGAAAUCCCAAGGCUCAACCUUGGAACUGCCUUUGAUACUGGGGAUCUCGAGUCCGGAAGAGGUGAGUGGAACUGCGAGUGUAGAGGUGAAAUUCGUAGAUAUUCGCAAGAACACCAGUGGCGAAGGCGGCUCACUGGUCCGGUACUGACGCUGAGGUGCGAAAGCGUGGGGAGCAAACAGG
rnacentral:rRNA from 1 species